AACUUGGGAAAUUUACGAAUUUCGGUAUUGAAAACCGCAGACCACCCUCAGUUGUGCUUUGUCCACUGUACUGUAAAUGCUGCUAAUAUACCUCUGUCGCUAGCAGACGCAUGUCUUUGCAUUCGAUUGGUUGAACGGCAUUUCGUUUGCUGAUGGAGAACACCUUUGUUUUAAUUUGUAUUUUGUCAUCGGUUAUGUUAUUUGUUUUGUCUGUUACACUGAACUCUAUAAUGGGCUCUGUUAUUUGAUUUGAUUUUGUUAGGUAAAGAUGGAAGGCACUGUGACUAUAAAUAAUGGAAGGCUCGUUGCUGUCGGCGGUUCUGAAGACAGCGGUUCGAUCCAGCUGAAGGACGUCACCUGGCAGGAAGUUGCAGAGUGUGGUGGCCAGUAUCAAGCCACAUUGUCCAGAAACCAUCACAUUAUCUCCAGGUCACUAGUCGCCGGUGCUCGAGCUGACGGCGUCGUUCAAGGGCUCCACGGUGACAAGCGCCGUCACCGCUGCCGCCGCCGCCGAGACCAUCCGACUCCUGGGCCCUGUUUCACGGCAGCGUACUGCAGCGCGCUACGCAGCGCUGCUGUGUUAGUGCGGCGAUUGAGACGAAUUCGGCUCGACGCUCCAGCGUUGCGAAACACCCGUGUCUAUGAAGGAAACGCCGAUACGUCCCCCAGCUUCAAGCCCUCCCCCCCCCCCCGCCCCGUU
rnacentral:lncRNA from 1 species